rnacentral:rRNA from 1 species
UACGGAGGGAGCUAGCGUUAUUCGGAAUUACUGGGCGUAAAAGCGCACGUAGGCGGCUUUGUAAGUUAGAGGUGAAAGCCUGGAGCUCAACUCUAGAACUGCCUUUAAGACUGCAUCGCUUGAAUCCAGGAGAGGUGAGUGGAAUUCCGAGUGUAGAGGUGAAAUUCGUAGAUAUUCGGAAGAACACCAGUGGCGAAGGCGGCUCACUGGACUGGUAUUGACGCUGAGGUGCGAAAGCGUGGGGAGCGAACAGG